rnacentral:rRNA from 1 species
GAAGACGCAGGCGGCGUGCUUAACACAUGCAAGUCGAACGCUGAAGCUCAGCUUUUUGUGGGUGGAUGAGUGGCGAACGGGUGAGUAACACGUGAGUAACCUGCCCCCUUCUUUGGGAUAACGCCCGGAAACGGGUGCUAAUAAGGAUAUUCACUAGCCUUCGCAUGGGGGUUGGUGGAAAGGUUUUUCUGGUGGGGGAUGGGCUCGCGGCCUAUCAGCUUGUUGGUGGGGUGAUGGCCUACCAAGGCUUUGACGGGUAGCCGGCCUGAGAGGGUGACCGGUCACAUUGGGACUGAGAUACGGCCCAGACUCCUACGGGAGGCAGCAGUGGGGAAUAUUGCACAAUGGGCGAAAGCCUGAUGCAGCGACGCCGCGUGAGGGAUGGAGGCCUUCGGGUUGUAAACCUCUUUCGCUCAUGGUCAAGCCGCGACAAUGGUUGUGGUGAGGGUAGUGGGUAAAGAAGCGCCGGCUAACUACGUGCCAGCAGCCGCGGUAAUACGUAGGGCGCGAGCGUUGUCCGGAAUUAUUGGGCGUAAAGGGCUUGUAGGCGGUUGGUCGCGUCUGCCGUGAAAUCCUCUGGCUUAACUGGGGGCGUGCGGUGGGUACGGGCUGACUUGAGUGCGGUAGGGGAGACUGGAACUCCUGGUGUAGCGGUGGAAUGCGCAGAUAUCAGGAAGAACACCGGUGGCGAAGGCGGGUCUCUGGGCCGUUACUGACGCUGAGGAGCGAAAGCGUGGGGAGCGAACAGG